rnacentral:lncRNA from 1 species
AGAGGGAUUCAAUUUAAGAAUUAUACAAAUAUAUUUUCCUCUAAUUAGACGAUUGCAUUCCUAAUCAGAGGGAUUCAAUUUAGGAAUUAUACAAAUAUAUUUCCCUCUAAUUAGAUGAUUGCAUUCCUAAUCAGAGGGAUCUACAGCUCAUUUCAACACUCUCCCUCAAGAUGGGUUAUAGAUAUCAUAAAGACCCAUCUUGUCACGAAUAAAUGAAAAAGAAGGCAUAC